CCUCUCAAAUUGCUGGGAUUAUAGGCGUGAGCCACCGCGCCUGGCCCUAUAUCUAUUUUUUUUCUAUCAACAGCUUUGUUGUAAAAAGUCAGUAGUUUAAGUGAUGCUAGAAGGGGAGAAAACAGUUCUUAUUUGGGGCAGGUAUCUAUUAAAUUGUUGAAUGACUGUGUUAUAGGUCAGGCAUUGACAACCUAUAGCUCAUUUGACCUACAACCCCAAAAGGGAUGAUUCAACUCAGAAGUAUUCAGAGCAAUUGCCACAACCAGCACUUUAAUCAGAAUUGCAAAGUAGUUGAAAUUUUUAUUUGUCACGUCCUUAUAUUCCUUUUCUGACGCUUCUCUACCCACUCACCAGCUGCUCAGGGUCUUCAGACUGCCUUUUACCUGGAAUCAUACCAUGCCCUGCACUGCAGUGCUGCUCCCCUACAUAUUUUUCCAUCUUACCAUCAACCAUGAUUAAGAUUUCUUUGAAACCAAUGAUGGGUAUAAAGAGGAAAGUUAGUCUGGUAAAGUGACCUUGUUAGAAGCAGAUGGCUUGAGAGCUUGCUGUGUCUGUCUCUGGAGCUGUCUUUUGUUGUUGUUUCAAAGAAGAACAGAAUGUUUUUACUUAAAUACAUUUCUAAUUUAUAAUGAUCAAUUUCCAAUUUACAAUGAUUCUGAUGUAUGAAUUUGGUAUAACGUUACAAGAGAGUCAUUAGAAGGGAGGAUUUGAUGAGGAAAUACACAUUUUUCUGAACGAGUGUGAAUUUUGUUCAUAGGUAUAAUUUAAAUAAAACUAAUUUAAAAUUCUUUAACCUUUGCACGAUUUUAAAAAUCUACAAGUUCAGGGGAAAAUAUGGGCAAAAAUAGAUUUUUUUUCCUGUUUUCUUGCUAAUAAAAGGGAAGAUUUGAAAGGAAAGACAGAGACGUAAAUCCAGACCAAACCAGAACCAACCAACCCAAACCUCUGUUACAGAAAGAGUUACAUACUUAAAAAUAUUUAAGAAUUGAAAUAGCUUUUAAAAAAGCUUUCUUGAAACCAUGGUGAAACUAUAUAGAAGAGAAUAAAAAAAUACCUAGGUGAAAUAGUGACUAAAAUACCCCAAAUCUUAAAGUAUUUAUCUGUAAUAUAUUCAUAAAUGUUUUUAUUUUAUUUGACAACGUACUUCCACCUUGUGGUGAGAGACUAGGAAAGGCCAGUUUUUGCAUUUUAAUUGAUUAUAGAUUGUCAACCCAAAAGCUUAAAAAAGAAGACUUCUUUGUCAAAGAGCCAAUCAAGUCCAAAGAAGUAGACACAUUAUUUGUACCACCUAGUGCCAAUGUGAAUU